rnacentral:rRNA from 1 species
UACGUAGGGGGCUAGCGUUGUCCGGAAUCAUUGGGCGUAAAGCGCGUGUAGGCGGCCCGGUAAGUCCGCUGUGGAAGUCGGGGGCUCAACCCUCGAAUGCCGGUGGAUACUGUCGGGCUCGAGUGCGGAAGAGGCGAGUGGAAUUCCUGGUGUAGCGGUGAAAUGCGCAGAUAUCAGGAGGAACACCGAUUGCGAAGGCAGCUCGCUGGGACGUUACUGACGCUGAGACGCGAAAGCGUGGGGAGCAAACAGG